rnacentral:rRNA from 1 species
AAGGGUCCAGCCUGCCCAGUGACUUUGUUCAACGGCCGCGGUAUCCUAACCGUGCGAAGGUAGCGUAAUCACUUGUUCUUUAAAUGAGGACUAGUAUGAAUGGCACCACGAAGGUUAUACUGUCUCCUUUCUCUAAUCAGUGAAACUAAUCUCCCCGUGAAGAAGCGGGGAUGAAGAUAUAAGACGAGAAGACCCUAUGGAGCUUCAAACAAAUAUACAACUGCCUAUUCCACUAAAAAUUUCAGGAGAAACACAGUUAUCCAGGCACUUUGAUAUAGAGUUUUAGGUUGGGGUGACCACGGAGUAAAAAAUAACCUCCGUAAUGAAAGGGGCUUUUCCUUUAAAUAAGGGGUACAACCUUAAGUAUCAAUAAAUUGACACCAAUUGACCCAAUUUUGAUCAAUGAACCAAGUUACCCUAGGGAUAACAGCGCAAUCCACUUCAAGAGCCCCUAUCGACAAGUGGGUUUACGACCUCGAUGUUGGAUCAGGGUAUCCUAAGUGUUCAGCCGCUA